rnacentral:rRNA from 1 species
ACCUGUUCCCAUACCGAACACAGAAGUUAAGCCCUUCAGCGCCGAUGGUACUUGGCGGGCAGCCGCCUGGGAGAGUAGGUCGUUGCGGUU